rnacentral:rRNA from 1 species
AUAAGACAUGCAAGUCGAACGGAACAUUAUGAGUAGCAAUACGAGUGGUGUUAGUGGCGAACGGGUGCGUACACGUGGAUACAUUCCGGGAAGCGGGGGAUAGCCCAGGGAAACUUGGAUUAAUACCGCAUGUGAUCGAAAGAUCAAAGACGGGGGACCGCAAGGCCUGUCACUUCCCCGAUUGGGUCCGCGGCCUAUCAGCUAGUUGGCGGGGUAAAAGCCCACCAAGGCUACGACGGGUAGCUGGUCUUAGAGGACGACCAGCCACACUGGAACUGAGACACGGUCCAGACACCUACGGGUGGCAGCAGUCGAGAAUCUUUCACAAUGGGGGCAACCCUGAUGGAGCGACGCCGCGUGGAGGAUAAGGUCUUCGGAUUGUAAACUCCUGUCAUGCGCGAACAAGGUUGCAGGGAUAAUACCUUUGCAAAUUGAUGGUACCGCAAGAGGAAGAGACGGCUAACUCUGUGCCAGCAGCCGCGGUAAUACAGAGGUCUCAAGCGUUGUUCGGAAUCACUGGGCG